rnacentral:rRNA from 1 species
AACGAACGCUGGCGGCAUGCCUAACACAUGCAAGUCGAACGAGACCUUCGGGUCUAGUGGCGCACGGGUGCGUAACGCGUGGGAACCUGCCCUUAGGUUCGGAAUAACUCCCCGAAAGGGGUGCUAAUACCGGAUAAUGUCUUCGGACCAAAGAUUUAUCGCCUUUGGAUGGGCCCGCGUUGGAUUAGCUAGUUGGUAGGGUAAAAGCCUACCAAGGCGACGAUCCAUAGCUGGUCUGAGAGGAUGAUCAGCCACACUGGGACUGAGACACGGCCCAGACUCCUACGGGAGGCAGCAGUGGGGAAUAUUGGACAAUGGGCGAAAGCCUGAACCAGCAAUGCCGCGUGAGUGAUGAAGGCCUUAGGGUUGUAAAGCUCUUUUACCCGGAAUGAUAAUGACAGUACCGGGAGAAUAAGCUCCGGCUAACUCCGUG